AAUUCCCGCCACGUUUAAGGUGCUUGGCCGCUAUGCGGUCGAGUUAAACGGGAAUCAGGUGACAUGCCUGAGCUGCCCCCGCAACGGUAAGCAAGUGCGGGCGUAUCAAUCAAGGAACCUCUGAAUAUGUUCUUGUAUGUUCAGAAGCUGCCUGACGCCACUGUGAAUUCUCCAGUUCAUGGGAAGGCGAUACGUCAAAUCUUGCGAGCCCGGAUACCGGCCUCAAACACAUACGGUAU
rnacentral:ncRNA from 2 species